rnacentral:rRNA from 1 species
UACGUAGGGGGCAAGCGUUGCCCGGAAUCAUUGGGCGUAAAGCGCGUGUAGGCGGCCUUGUAAGUCCGUUCUGAAAGCCCGGGGCUCAACCCCGGGAGGCGGAUGGAUACUGCAAGGCUCGAGUACGGAAGAGGCGAGUGGAAUUCCCGGUGUAGCGGUGAAAUGCGCAGAUAUCGGGAGGAACACCAAUGGCGAAGGCAGCUCGCUGGGACGUUACUGACGCUGAGACGCGAAAGCGUGGGGAGCAAACAGG